rnacentral:tRNA from 1 species
GCGGGUGGCCGCGCUGGACUAUACGUUGCCCUCCAGAGGCAAAGGUCUCACGUUCGAAACGUGACGGGUGCGCCA